rnacentral:snRNA from 1 species
UUAACAGCCUGCCCACCCUGGAA